CCGCUGCGUGCACCAAGUGCGUUGAAAGGUUUUCGCCGAUUAAAACGAAUAAAAACCGCGUCGAAAGGCAAAGAAGUUAGAGGUUAGGCAGGGUUGAAAAGUACUCAGCUGGACACCGGAGAAAAAAGAAACCCCCACAAGAACUCCGGUUGUUCGGGUGUGUCCUAACAGCCUCACUCUGGACCUCUUGGACCUGGUAGGUCCGCGUCCCCAGUCCCUGCGGGGACAGCCCAGGAAGAGGCCAGGUUCCAGGACAGCCCAAGCAUCCGAAUCAAGUUAUCUACACCCCCGAGACUGAGCAAUAGAUGAACGAAUCGAGUCUAUUUCGGCAUUUUCCAGGGGAAAUGAAAGUGUAUGCCCAAAGAAGGACUUGUAUUUCAAUGUUCAUAGAAGUUUUAUGCACAAGAGUCCAAAACUGCAAAAAAAUCCAGAAGUUCAUCAACUGGGAUGGUGUGAAGUGUCUGCAGGCAUCCGAGUGAACCCACAGGGAGAGUUCGGCUGGCACACAGGGAGACGGGCCAAGGCGCGGCAGGCGAGGGCGGCACAAGCGUGGUGCUGCGACACCACUGCUGGGAGCAGGGCUGAAAGGUGUCUUUUACUCUAAGGACUUUCAUAAGGCAGUCCCAAUCCAAAGACUGACUUUAGUUGCAUGGCCUUAGCCUCUCAGUUUCUUAAGCCUUCUGAGGACCUCCUGAUCAUGACAAAUAAGUCACUAUUUACAGCCAUGUGACAGAUAAAUCCUUCAGAUUUGUUCUGAAGGACCCCCAAAAGGAAACAUAUGAGAGUACCCACACUCGGCACAGGAACGGCAAGAGACCUCCUGUGAG
rnacentral:antisense_RNA from 1 species